AUUCCAGGAUCAACGGAAAAACAUGAUCCCUGAAUCGAACUUUCACCGACAGCCCCUUUCAAACUUUACAUCCUGAAGUCAACUCUGCUCGCAAGCGAUUCCAAAGGAAGCGACUUUGUACCUGGGACGGUGUGAUACCCACGAUGGCAAUAGUGGGGAGGUGGAGGAGGAGGGGGGGCCGAGGUAUCGGUGGCGCCCAGCGGAGGCGCCGGCUGGGGGUAGCCGAUCGCCGGCUGCUGGUGCGGCGGGUUCGGCGGGGGGUAGUUGGCGACGCCUUGGAAGGUGCCGUACUGGUGCUGGUAGUCGCCGCUCGGGACGCCCCUGUUUCGGUCUUCGUUUGUGUAAGGCCCAGACACCCUUGCCUAAGGCUGGCAUGGGUAUUGCCACGGAAAAAAAAAAUUAUAAAAAUUAUUAAAAAUUGCAAAAAUUUAGGAUACCCAUGUCCAUAUCAACAAUUUUUUGCUAAAAUCUAAAAAAAUGACUGUGUUGGCAAAUUGUCAAAAUAUUUAAGAUUGGAUUGACAAAAUUGAAAAAUAUAAAACUAAAUUGACAUAUUUACAACAUGUUUAGAACUUCUUUUUUUGAAAUGAUAUUCAUGUUGUGUUGUGCAAAUAUAUGUCAAACAACAUGGUCGCAUGCAAGUUUUAUUUGAUGUUCGCUUUUGUAGAGUAAGAUAUCCCUUGUAUAUCAAAAUAAGCAUAUUUAAAGGACUUGAGAUGUAUUAACAUCUUUGAUUACCAAAAAAAAAAAAAAACAUCUUUGAUUGCCAAAACUCAAAACGGGGAAGCAUUAAUUUCCAAUAGAAAGGACAAUAAAUUCAAAUGUUCUAAAACUCCAUCAGAAACAGCAUCGACCAACGGACGAGACCAAGCGAGUGUUAAUGAAUAUGAAUAGAUUAGUGCCACAAAGAGUGAUAGCAUGAAGAUGUGCAUACCAUAGGUUUGGGAGGAUUGAUGCAAGGAGGGCAAGAGACGGGGCUUGAUGUCGUCGAAGAUGGUGAUAGGCUUGGAGUUGGCUUCCUUGAGCAACCGCGAGUUCUCCUUGAGGUCACCGAACAGGAAGGUGUAGGGUUUGCCGUAAAGGCCUUGCUAUCUCAGGAGCCUCUCCAGCCUCUUCGGCCUCAACCACACCGAGUUCACUGCCCUCCAUGCCCAUGUGGUCAGGACAGCCAGAACCGCCGCUACUGCAAUUGACUGGAUUGACACCUCCAUGUUUUCUUCUUCUUUGUGUGCGUAUUUGUUUGUCUGUACAUGGGUCUGCUGUCUCCAUGAGAGAGAGAGAGAGAGAGAGGGACCUCAAUGUGAUGAUAAUGUUGGGCAAGGACGAUUUUGUGGUGUCGUGUUUAUAUAGCCAUGGCCCAUACAUAGCCAUGUGUAUGUUGGCCAAGAAGCUUCUUGACCGUGACCCGAAUCAAAAUGAAAGAAAAAUAGAAGGAAGCCCAAAAUAGAAUGAAGAAAAAAGUAUUCACCGCUCAAUGCUAGGAUGAGUAUAGCACACAUAUUGAAUCAAAUAUAGAUUAUUGAAAAUGAUGCAUUUAUAUUGGGUGUUUCUGGACCACCUCAAUAAUCUUCUCUUCACACAUCGAGCCUAGUUUAGAGGCACAAUAACUCAUAACUCUCUCAUAUAAUUGUUGGAUCCAAAUUUGUUGGAUACUAGUGUUGAGUAGUUUUAGACCUCUCUCAACCAAAAAGUUAGUUCAAGAGGUGAGACUUUCCCUUACACUAAUAAACUAACCACCAAUCAAGAACAACCUCAACAGUCUCAUGUGGCAGUAGAAUAUUCAAUUUAGGACAAGUACAAUGAAUAAUUUCUCAAAGGGACGGAGUCUCUCCUUUGCUGGCAAGACUUGUUAUGGAGGAAGGAAAAACUUCGGAUUCAUAUUAUGUCCAACGAGACGGUGUAAAAAGCCUUUGGCAAGUGUUGUAUCAAAUUCGAAAUAACUGUACCUAAUAAAUAAUUUUGCAACAGUGUUUGAUGGUAAAAUCCUUAGCCCAAAAGCAUUUGAAAAAAUCUAAGAGAAGCUCGACUCCCAGUGGUCAUUAUUAAUUACUUUUCUUCUCUCUUUUUCCCCCUUUUUAAAAGGGCUCGGAUGCUAAUCACAUGCCACGCAAUUGAAGGUCAAACAAGAAAUCAAGAACCUGGUCUCCAGGCAAAGUAGUGUUUUCUAUCCAAAGCAAGCACAUAUUUUUUUCCUUUUUGGUGGGAUUUAGAUUUGAUUUUCGUCACCAGCCUUACCAAAAUUAUGAGUUACGUCUAAUUAUUGGCUGAAGCAAUUAUCUAUUCUGUGACUUGUAAUUAAGUUUUGUGUGUUGAAAACUUGAAAUUUGAGGUUACACCUACCUUUGGUAUAAUAAAUGACAAUCUCGCUAUUACCAAAACUAGCCAUCUUUUUUUCUUGUUAAUGUCCAACAUUAGAGUGCUUAAAUGGAUCCACCAGCUUAAAUAAUCACUUAUUAUUUUCCAUGUAAUUUCAUAGAUCUAUUAACUAUAUGAGUUUUGGUAUCUCUAACAUACUUGCUACAUAAAAUGGUCGAAUCGUGACCAUUCCAAAUUAUGGUCAACCAAGUGCUUUGUUAGUUUGCUCCUUUUUCACAUGAAAAGAGGCCUAAUACAAAUGCCUCAAUAAUUCUACAUAAGUAUCAUUCGAUAUAAGAUCUAAGAUUUUAAGAUAUUGAAAAAUUAAAACUUCAAUAAUUUUGUGCAUCGUUCCAUAAGAUUGGAGAUAACUUUUCAUAUUGUUCAUAUAGAGCCCCCAUACAAGUUGGGAAGCACAACUGUUAUGGCUACUUAUUCUCCGGACAUUAUUAUGGCACCGAUUAUAGAAUUCUAGAUUGAAGACUGUGAAGAGAUCAUUGCUCAACAUCACUUGUGAUAUAUUGAGUUAAGAUGGGUUAGUGCUUUUACCGCAAUUCCCUAGCGGGACACACAAAUUACUAAUGAGCAUACGCUUAAACUCAUGAUCUUGUGUUUUAGAAACAGCAACUCAUGCCAUUCAGCCACCAACAUCGAUAGGGAAGACUUUAUCAAGAUGUGAUACAUAUGCUUUGUAGAAUUGGGAAAAGGUGAAUUGCCGAUUAUUUUUCCUUGAAAUGCAUGAAUAUAUUGGAGUUUGUUCAUUGUGAAUUCAAAAAAGUUAAAAAUAACUUUUUCUUACCUUUUCAUCAAAAUUUCAAAUUCUAAUAUAUUUUUAAAAUAAUUGUGGAAGAAUUGCCAUAUCAAUGUAACGCAAAUUUUGAAGUUUUCAAGAAUGCUACGUUAUAUAAAGGCCAAAAGGUAAAAUAAUAUGAUUUGACAAAAUUUAAAAAAAAAAUUCUAAGGUUUAGGGAUUUAAGUUAUGCUAACAUUUCUAUUAGUAUCCUUUCGGUAUUAAUAAUUUGUUGUGUUUCCUAAAAUGUCCAUGCAUGUCUUUUUACAUUUUUCAUGCCAAUAAAACCAAUUAGAUGAUCAUAUGUGGAUGGUCAAUUUUCUGCUAUUCUAUUUCUAUCAAAAGAGAAAAAGAAAGAAAACAAUCAAUUGAAAUUUAAGGACGGUGUAGUAAGUAAAUGCCCAAAAAACAGUUUAAGGAAAUCAAUUAAUCUAGCAUGCAAUCAUAAACAGAAGUUAAAUCGAAAGAAAGAAAUCCGUAACUCGUCGGAUUUCUACACAACGCUAGGUAACCCAAAACAGAUAUCGGGAAAUAAAUGGUACAAAACAGAGUCGAAUUGGACAUUGACCACUCAUCGUCUUCAUGUCUUGGGGAUCAUCACCUCCAUGGACCUAUUCUAAACCUAAUCUAAUACUAAGACUAGGUACUUACAAAGUAAAAGAAACAAUCAUGAUUACAAAUAUAUAAAAACGAUCACAAUCCCAAAACAAGCAAGAACAAUCAAGAAACUAGGACAAAAUGUAUAAUUGAUCAACUUUGGCCUCGGAGUCAGCCUUUGUGAUUCAUGCAACAACCACCUAAGACAACUAUCCAAUCUAAUUUUAAAGUGACCUAUAACAAUUGGCCACCGUUUGUGUUAUCGAGUGGCAACCAAUGCUAAAAAGUCCUUAAACGGGUUCUAAGUAUGACCUAGGACUUCUCACAAGAUCAUGCAUUACGCCUAUGCAUAUAUCUAUAAACCACAUGCAUAGUUGAAAGUAAAUAUACAGGCAGGCCAUCGGACCUUGGUUCUUAAUCGAUUAAGCAAGCUUAGUGAGGCAACACUAGAUCACUUAUUCAGUCAUCAAGUGCCAAACAAAAUCACAUGCAUUUCUAACAAUUGAAGAGAUGUUAUGCAUGUAUGACUCAUGUAAUGCCUCAAAAAUUUUAAAUGCAUUUGAGACAUUGAUGACAAGAUGAGGUAUUUUUGACAUAGGUACAUCUCGGUUAUGGGACGCAUUUAAUUGCCAUGGUUAAUUCGGGGCACAUAUCAUGCACUACUAAUGGAUGUUGCAGGCAUUUCAAAUACUGUCAAAACCUCGACGAGUUCAAUGUCAAAUUAAAAGUAAUAGAUGCUAAAAUGGUUAAUGUUGGAGGCAUCAUGUGUACCGAAAUCACUUUGUAAUGCAAAAACAAAUUUUGCGAUAAAUCCAAAAGGAUUUGACAAAGGGUCCUAGAUGGCCUUUUUUAUUUUUUAAGGAUUUUUUACAACAAAGAUUGCGAAAUUUGGAAUAAAUUUCAUGAAGACAACUAAUCCCAAUUCAGCAUUCAAGAUAUCCCAAAAAUUCUAAAAGAGAAUCGCAGGAAGAAUCAACAGGACAAUGAAAAUUAGAAAAAUUAGAAUAGGACCUAUGGGUAAUUGGCCCUAAGAAAUUUACAAAACAUGAAGCACACAAUAAGAAAAAAAAAUUGUGAAGGAAGUUUCUUAAGAUGAGCUACAUAUGAAUUUAUAAAAAUUCAAGAACACGUAGAAUGACAUUGGAAACAGAACAGGGCAGCUAGACAUCAUGGCAAAUCAACAAUAAUUUAUCCUGGUAGAUGAUGUCUAAAAAUUUGAAAUUUCACCGCGAUAUAGACAUGAGAAAGACAAACAAGUUUCAUUAAGGACCCGAUCCCAAAAUGCUUACUGAAAAAUCCAUCGAAAAAAUAAAAAGUUCUGACUCAACAAAGGCAGAAUGAGCAUUCCGAAUUUUACUCAUAUCAAAUUUCAAGGCAAACUUUGCAAAAAUGGAAAACUAAUCAAAUGAUGCAAAUUUAGUGUCAUUAGAAAGAUUAGGAUGUUCCAUAAGACUUUCUAAGAAACGUCAAGUUCAAUUAGGGUCAAAUUCGUGGUCAAACAGUGACAAUUGCAAAAGUGUGCAAAUCAGUCAUAAGAUUGGCAGAACACGAUGCAUGAUAAUUGGCUUGUUAAGCUACUUAAACAAUACAUGAAAAUUGUAGAAUUCGAACAUACUGUAGGGCUAAAUGUGAUGAUCAAGUUUGGUUAAGACAUUUAGCCCUAAAUCCAUGUACAAAAAGUCACACAAGUUCAUUAACAUUGACGGGCGACUUACCAUUAAAGAACACUCAUGACAAAAUGCACGAUAAUUUCGGUUGUGACAUGUCAACUUGGUGCAUGGCUUUCAUAUAGGAAAUGAUCUUCAAGUGAGGCAUGCCAUACAUCAUUACGAAGCUUGUGAUAUGCUCUAAAUAUGUCUAGAAGACAUCAUACACUAGUUUCCCUUUUAAGGAGCUCAAACGAAAAUGUUUUUACGGAUACAUUAUCAGUCAAAUGCAGCAAGGGUUAUAUAGAAUAUAAAUCGUUUCCAAUAAUCUAAUGACAUGUGAAAGUUCUACAAAAAUUCUUACAGAUAAAAUGCAAUGCCAUGAUUAUUUUUCGUGAUGACUCCAAAGUCUACUUUGAUUUACAAAAGACUACACGAAAAUGAGAAAGCAAGAUAAUGUUAUCAACGUCACAAAAUGCAGCAGUUCGAACAUCUCUUCACACAAGUGAUUGACCUAAUAAAAAACAAUCAUUUGACACAAAUUGUACUUAGUUAGAAAGCUUAUGAUAUAUACUACAACUUUUGUGAAGGAUGGAAAUCCAAUCCAACAAGUUUACCACCUCAUUUUAGAGCAAAUAUGAGUUGGACUUGUAAUAGCAUUGGUCAACAAAGUCAAAGGAGAUAAAAUAAAAUAAAAAUUAAAAAAAAACGAAGAAGAAGAAAGGGGGUUGAAAAGUCAAAAGCAAAAUAAGUGAGCAUGGGACACUCAUUCUUUUAAGAGCUCAAAACAGUUCGAGAAAAGAAAAGGAAGUGGAAAGAAAAGGAAGAAGAAAGUAAAGGGGAGAAGAGAAAGGGCUUGUAAGUUUACCAACUUGACUAUGUAAUGCAAUGCCCAGUAACUACUCGCGCUCCUCAUUCAUCCAAUCAAGGUAGUUUUCAAAAAUAGGGGAAAAUUUUGAAGUUAUGUGGAAAUUGAGCCGUGAAGUCCGAUUUUUGGGUUGUGAAGUUUUGGGUUUUCGUGGAAAUGAUGAAGUUUUGGGUUUUGACAAGAGUCGUUUUGAUGCAAUGGUUUUGUGGAAGCGAGAUUUUAGGGUUCUAGGACCAAGUUCCAUGUUGAGUUUUGAUUUAAAUAAUUGUUUUAGAUGAGCAAUUUGUUGAUGCGUAAAAGUUAUUUUGUUGGUGUUUAAGUUUAGUUAGCCAAGUGUAGUUGAGAUAACAUUUUACUUGGUUUUGAUACUAUUUCUCACUUAUACUAUAAGAAUGUGAGUUCGUGGGAUUGACUGAGCAUUGUUAUUUGGUUUGGGGCAUAUUAGGUGAAUGGUGCUAAAUGUUGUACGAAUUUGUGAACUUAUAUCUUGAAAAUGGUAGAGAUUUGAGAUAUUAUAAGUAACGAAGGAGUAUGUUUAUUGCAUAAAAAUCUGGAUAAGCCAAUUAUUACAUUUUAGUAUUGGUGAAUGAUUUGAGAAAGAUUUUAUGAAAGAUAUUUUGUCGUAAAUAUGAUUUGUGAAAGAAAUUUUGAAAUUGUUCGAGAAUGGUUUUAAGAAAAAUGUUGUGAACACAUUAUUAGCUUAUGCAAUGAGCCUAUAACGAUUUAAAAAACUUUUUGUAAAAGGCGCUUGAAAUGUCAAGGGUUUAUGAAAUGGAUUUCAAAAUGUUAUGAAAAAUGUCCUGUGAAGUAUAUUUUAUUUUAUGGAUUGAAUUAUGAAAAUUUAUAUGUUUGGUUUAUAAAUUGAAUUUCUAGAUAUUGAAGGAUGUGAGUUUGGUGCUCAAUAUCGUUGUGAACUUAUGGAGGGGCUGUGGGUAUGCAUAUUAGGUUUAAGAUAUCUUUUUAGAUUGAGCCAAUGGCUUUGUAAGUACAGACCUUGCUAAAAUGGUCUUCUUGAUCGCAUUAUCACAAGGCAUUAUGUCAUGAUAUAAUUUGAUAUUAAGUGAAAGAUUGGAUUGACCUGAUCAUUGAUAUUUGAAUCAUGACAGUAGAUUUAAAUGUGUAUUUCUAACAUGUACAAAACUUUGUUGAAAUGAGUAUACUUAAUUUGAUAUGUAUAUUAAUGAGUUGGAUUAUGAACUACUGGUUAUGCUUUAUACUUAUAUAUAUGCAUAGUAGCUACUUGAUCUGCUUAGACGAUAUGUACUAUUCACUGAGCUUGUGGUUACUCAUCCCUCUCUUUUUCAAUCUUUUUGGGUCCUUUAGUUAGAGGCCAUUAGAGAGAAAGUGUUAUUGUGGGGGGCCUAGAUUUUGGCGGUUUGAGGCUGUGUCCUUCAGGUGGAAAGACGGUCAUAUCAUACCUAUCUCUAUAGGAUUCGUAGUUUGACAUCAUGUAGUAUUUGAGUCAACUCUUGCAACGUGUGGAGCCAUAGCGAGAGUGAUGUGCCUAAGGGGUGGAGAAUGUAACAACUCAUACUCAUGACAAUAUAUAGGGAUGGCAAGGCGGUUGCGUCUCGACAAUACACCAGUAAGGUUAAGUGCAUGUCUCCUAUCUCACAUCACUAAAGGGUGGAGAGUGCGGCGGUGCAUGAGGAGGAGGGAUGGUGGUGCAUCCACACCUCGGUCUCUAGAUGUUUGCAGGGAGGGAACGCGUCUCUUAUCCCACGUCGCCUUAGGAAAGUCUUGAACUAGAUCAAUUCUAGGUUCUCUAUCUGUAUAUAUGCAUUUUUUAGACGAAGCCCAGAAAAACAAAAAUGUGAAGGUCCAAUGGGGUUCAAAGUAGACAAUAUGUGUAUAGUGAUGAAUUUAGGAUGUUACAAGUAGUAUCAAAACCGACUCUCGACCACUUAUGGGGCUACAGUGAGGAUGGUGUGCUCCUAAGGGUUGGUGAAAAGUGUGACAGCCCAAGCGGCAUUGCGUGGGAAGGAGGGACAGCAGUGCAUCCACACCUCGGUCUUGGACAUACACAGGGAGGGGGUGCGUCUCUUGUCCUAGAUUGCCUAGGGGGAGUCCUGGACUAGCUUAUAAGGUUUUGGGUUCUCUAUCUAUACAUACACAUUUUCUGGGCGAAGCCCAAAGGAACAAAACUAUGAGAGUCCAAUGGGCUCAAAGUGGAUAAUAUGUAUAGAUUGACGAACCCAGGGUGUUACAAACUCGAACAGGACAAAACAACAUAGUGACGUUAUUAUGAGAUUUAACCUAAUCAGAUUUCCUUCAAAAAUUCUAGAAAAAAAAUGUUAUACCAACAUGAUUUUGUACAAUUUCCGUGGAGAAACCAUCUCCAAAAUCUCAACACAAAAAUCAGUAGAAAGUUAGAAAGAAAAAUAUGUUCAAAAACCAAAAUACCAUAAUAUCAUGAAAAUCCAGCAGGAUCAUCCAACUUCCAAGAUGCAAUUUAGGUGUCAAACAAACUCCAUUUGAGGCCCAUAAUAAAUCAAAUUGAAACUUGAGACAAAUAACGAGGUUUAGGACCUCAGGUCAGCCCUAAUAUAGAGUCACUUUCGAGCAUGUGAUUUUUGCAGAACUAGGUAGAUUAUGUAAAAUCAUGUUCAAUCUCAGCUUUAAUCAACACAACGUCAUCAACUAUCAUAACAUAACAUCCAAAUCACAAAUUUAACCAUGAGAUAUAGUUCUAGGGUUCGAGUCUUGGCCCCAAUCAACUAGCUCAAUCUCAUUUCAUCAUAUUCAAGUUUUGAUUGUUUACCUUUGUGUGAUUUCAACGAAACGAGCUCGAUUGAUUGACAACCUAAACUAUGGAAUGGAUCACAAACAUCAAGGAUUGUUGAAGGGAUGCCAUGGAUGGUUGGAUGGACCGGAUUGGCAUUGAUCAAGCCCCCAAUCAGUGGCUGGACAGAAUCGAUUUGUUUUGAAUCAGUUCAAGCCACCAACAUGAGAUUGGCCAAUUGGAGGACCUCCAAUGGUAGCUAAGUGGUUUUUCGGUCACCUGGUUCUUCAAGAUAGGUUAAAGGAGACGAUCUGAGGUGGGGCAAUGUUGAGGGAUGCCAAUUGGUCGUCGCGACUAGCCGCUAUACUGACAACUGGAAUCGCUAGCACUCUCACUGGUGAUUGGUCCAAUCGGUUGAUCGGACUGAUCGAGGAGCUCCGGCAAUCAUUGGGGCUCCAAGCAGCGAAAAUGGGAGAAGAAAGGAGCUGGUGGAGCUGGUGGAUCUUGGUACUCAACUUGCCGGGGUUCCACGUGAGCCAUGGUCGACACAGCAAUCUGUGAGCGCAAGAGAGAGAGAAAGGGAAAGAGAAGUGAUGGGAAAGAGAGAGGAGAGAGUUUUUGAGAGAGAAAUUCAUGUUCAGAUCUUAAAAAAAAAACAAAUAAUAAAAAAACUCCCCCAAAGUUUUGGACGGAAAAAUCUUAUAUAGUCCCCCUUUAAGAUCAAAUUUUGGUUGUCGAUUUGAUUUGAUAGCCGAAACUUGAUCGAAUGACCUAAUUAAGUUUAUUAUGGAUUAAGUCAAAAUAUAUCGCAUGACCAUCCGAAUGGUGUCAAUGUACCAAAAUCAAAAGUUUAAAUAGAAUUUGCGAUUAAGGCCUAAUUAAAGGUACAUUUGUAAUUUCACAUAAUCCAUGGAUAUUUUCGCAAAAUAUGGAAAGUUGAAAAGCAUAAGAAUAAAAUACACACAACGUUAAACUCACUAGUGGUUCUCGGCCACCAAAAGUUGACUGGUGGAGGGCCAAAUCAGCCUCUUCCACUAGUGGCUAGUCAAAUUGAUCAAACCAAUUAGAGGUGUGUAAUGGGAACCGCCCGAACUAAGAACCUCCCUGACCGAACCCCCCGGUUUUGGGCGAUUCACAAAGAGGGUGGUCCAGUUCCUAAUUCUCAUUCUUGAAACCGGUGGCUGGUCGGUUUGGUUCCUACUUAUAAUGUGAGAACUAGUCUAAUCAAACUGACCAGACCAGACCGGUUGAUUAUAUAUAUAUAUAUUAAAUACAUAUUUUUAAAUUUCUUGAUAAACAAACCCUAAUGCCUCCCAAUUUCCCCCGAUUAUAAUGUAUGAAGCAAAUUGGAUUACUUGUUUGGUAGCAGAUGGUGGUCGAAUUGACGUGAUUCAUGCUUUCGAUGCUAAAGAACAAAGAAUCUAAUCUUGAGUGUUGAGCCUUGAGUCUUGAGAGGGGUCACCGUAGAACUUUGUUAGGAUGCUUUGGUUACAAGAUCAUUGGAAUCUAGGUUUAUGGACAAAUUCAGUCGGUGAAGCCCCUUAUGCUCAACUAAUACCAACGGAACCAAUCCUCCUAAGUGAAAAGAGGCAAGCCAAAACCUACUCCCAACAAGUUGUAUCCCAAGUCAAGCCUUGGAAGAAAGGAAAUGAGAAAUCAUUAAUGCGAGAACUUCAGGUAAAAAGGAGAAUUAGCCUUUCAAGAUACUGACCUAGCAUUCAUUGCAAGACUUGUCAGCAUAAUCUCAAGGCAACGCCUUAUCCCUCUCCUGCUAAAGAACUACUCUUUCAUGGAGGAUUGAGAGAAUAGAAAGGCCAUUUACCUUUGCUGAUGAACUGUCAUUUCGUUAGUCACAGAGAGUAUAGAGAAAAGCUUGUUGUGUGGAUGAGGAAACUGCCGAGGGACAAGCAGCAAGCUGCAUGUAUUUAUGCACCGUGCCACGAGCAACAAGCUGCAACAUUGUCUAUUUUAUUUUUGGUAUAAAAUAGCAAACUUACCAAUUCCACCAGACCAAAUCAGACCAAACAAGAAUUGACGAUCGAAUCGAUUCCCAGUUUCAUGACCGGUCAGUUCGAUUUCCGGUCCCAAAAUCUUGUGAUUCGUCCCCCCCAGUUUGAUCCACAAUUCCACCUCAAAGCAAGAUCGUAUCAGGAACCGAUCAGUCUUGGGAAUGAUGCAUGCUAGUUCGAUUGAUUCAGUGACGUCUCAAGCAUCUUGGCUGAAGUCCUAAAUUUUAUGUAAUUUAGACCCUCAAGAAUCAAAUUGGAAAGAAAACUUGUUCAAUUAGAGGAAAAUGGCCCGAUUCUAAAUAAAGCAAGCUAAUUAAACCAUAUAAAUGCAAUUCGGUUAUUUUAUAUUGACCUAAUUACUUAAUUAACACGAAAAAUAAUGGACCUGCCUUAUGGGUACAUGCAAUUGGACUUUUUAGGCCAAAUUGGGCAAUUUCAUAUAAUUUCUUGAUCGAAAUCACAAAUUAAUCGAAAUUGAAUUCAAGUAAUAUUGCGAGGCACUUAUUCAAUUAAUUGUUCAUACCUAGGGUAAUCUAUUGUAUCUAAAUUGACUUUGAAUUGAUGUCAUGACUUUUAUGCUAUAAAAUGAAUCGAGGUUUAAUGGAAAAAAUGAACUUUAAUUCGUGAAAUUAAAUUUUAAUCAACUUGAAUUUCUUUAGUUUAUUAGCUUGGUUUUCCUAUAUCCAAAUAUCAAAUAUAUGAUUGGCUUUUAACUUCAACAUUUUGGGUUAAAUCUUUGAAAUUUUUUAAAACUAACUUGGCUAUAGUGAAAUUAGAAUCAUUUUUAUAAUCUUUUUAUGUAAAAAGCCAACUGUUGAUUCAGAAUUGACUUUUGAUCAAUGGAUUGACCAAUAAGUUAACAUAAAAGUCACCGUUUAACUUUUUGUGUUUUCAAUAGAAUUGAAUAGGAAAUUAUUUGAAAAAGACAAGGCAAAAGAAAGAAAUGGAAAAUGACUUUUUUUAUUUUAAGAAAUAUCCGUGACACAUCAUCCCAUGCUAGAGCGAAUUAGCAAAGAUAGCAGUUCGUAAGACAAAAUUAAAAUCCAAUGAUUCCCUACAAGAAUUUCAUCAAGAUCUCACAGAAAUUCCCAUGUAGCAGACCAAAUUCCAGGAUCAACGAAAAAAUUAUCCCCGAAUCAAACUUUCACUAACGGCAAUGGCUCCAUUUGCUUUGGACGAAGCAGUUAAAGGUCUCUAGCACAAAAUAAAGCUGGUGUGGUUCUUCUCCUUUGUGGAGAAAUGUGGUUCAAUUUUUGUAUCCUCUAGUGCACGUUAAAAUCUGAAGAAUAGGGAUAAUAAAGCCAUCUUUACUGGUCAUUGGCCAGAUCAGUACCUGAAAAGAAAUAAACGGGUUUAUUAUAGCACUAGGAAAAGGCAUAGCUUAUCAUCUACUGGGGUUUUUCUGAAAGGAAGAUUCAGAUACAUCCAGCGUCUUGCUGUUAUUAAACUAAAAUAACCAGUCACUUAGUUAAGAGGCCAUUUGAUUACGUUUACGAACACUAAAUUUCUAUUCUUAAACAACAACAUACAAACUUCGAAAAUGGUGUAGUGUGACAUUAUAUCUAUCCACGUAUUUGUCUACACUACAUGUCACCCUGAUCUGUAACUUUUAGUUUGCCUUGCGCAAGAUGACCUGAACACCAUAUCGUGGCUGGAGGAUGAGGACAUUAGAAGGAGCAUGCGCAUAAGAUGGAGAGAGCUCGAACGUGAACUGCUGAAGAAUCAUGGAAAGCGCCAUCUUUGCCUCUAUCAACGCGAAGUUUUGGCCGAUGCAUAUACGAGGGCCCCAUCCGAAUGGAAAGAAGGAGACUUGGUUUUUGGUGGCCUUGGACACUCCCUCGGCAAACCUCUCUGGCUUGAACUCCUCGGCAUCCUCGCCCCAAAGUUCUUUAUCAUGGUGGAUGAGGAGUGUCGGCAUUAAGAGCUGGACUUCCGGCGGUAUGGUCAGCUUCCCGAGUUUUGUUUCAGUAGGAACCUUCCGCCACAGCUCAGUCAACGGUGGAUAUAGCCUCAACACCUCAUUUAAGAUCAUUGUGACCUGAUUGCGACAAAUUCUUAGAAGAAUUCAUAUGGUAGAGAUGCGCACGUAGGAGCAUCUAUGAACGACCACGAUGCUGGAAUGAUAUCAAUAUUCUCGAAGAGACGGAAAUAUAUUGUAAUUUAUCCAGAAAAAGGGACAUGAGGCUAUGUCCAAAAAAUCAGGUUCUUGUGUCGAGAGGAAAUCCAAGUUCAAUUCAAGUGUGCAAAGAAAUUUUCCUGUCAGUUCAUUGUCGUGUUCAUCUUCAUAGGAUAACAUUAUUUUUAGACAAACAUUUCAUCUACUAAGGAUCGGAAAAUCGCAUCCAGUAAUUAUAGAAUGAUCAUCAUGUGUCAUGUGAUAAAAUUGUGAAGAACUCUCUAGAUCGGACCUAUUAUGAGUCCCAUUCUCAACAAAAGAGGAAAAGAGCAUUGAACUUACAAUCUUGAGGUGGCUUAAGCCGUCAGGGUCAGGUUUCCCGCUUCCGAAGAUUUGGAGGACCUCCUCCCUAGCUCGUGCUUGCCAAUCCGAGUGCACACUCAACAAGACCAUGGUCCAAACCAGCAAGACCGAAGUCGUCUCUUGUCCGGCGAUGUAGAAAAGCUUGCACUCCUCGAUCACAUCGUGAAGGCUCAUCCCGACAUUCUCCUUCAUGUUUGACUCCAGCAACAGCCCCAGCAGAUCAUCGCCAGCAGCUUCCCCUUCCCUUAUUGCUUUCUCUCUUCUGCGGAUGAUGUCCAUGAGCAGAGCCCGCACUUCCUUAUCUAUGCUCUUCAUCCUCCUGUUCAUCUUAGUUGGCACAAACCUGCGAAACAUUGAAUCAAAUAGUUGGAUUUUUUUUAGAAUGUCAAGAUUGUAAGCCAUAAGCUCAUUUAGAUUCAAUUAGCUUAAGGAUGAUGAACGAUUUUACCUCCAGCCAGGGAUGUAGACCGACUGAAGGGCUAUUAUCGCGAGCUGGGCUUGUUCCGCCUGAAGUUCGAAGAUCCUUUUGCCUUCUUCGAAGCUACUGCCAAACGCUGUUCGAGAGAUCACCUCACGGGUCAAAUUUUGAAGGUCGACCCAUGCGUCGAUCUCACAGGAUCUCUCUACUGAUACCAAUUUUUCCCAUCUACCAACCAUGUCAGUGCAACUUGAAUAAAAUGCGGGCAACAUAAGCUGCAAAAGCAACAGACCAAAGCAAAGGAGGAUUUAAAAGAGAAAUCCUGAGGCGUCAAUGUGUGUGGUUCAAUUCAGUUGACCAGGGAAUAGUUUCAUGUACCUUCAACUUCUCCAUGUGGAAUGCUGGAUUGAUGAUCUUUCUGUGCCGUGCCCAUUUCUCGCCCUCGUGAUUCACGAGUCCAUCCCCGAGCAACUUCCACAGGGGACUGGAGGCUAGCUUGGGGUAGUCGUUUAUCUUGGAAAAAGAUCUCCUUUAGUUGUUCGGGGUUCGGUAUGGGCACUCUCGGUGUUGGUCCUAUCCACAUGAACGAGUCUUNNNNNNNNNNNNNNNNNNNNNNNNNNNNNNNNNNNNNNNNNNNNNNNNNNNNNNNNNNNNNNNNNNNNNNNNNNNNNNNNNNNNNNNNNNNNNNNNNNNNNNNNNNNNNNNNNNNNNNNNNNNNNNNNNNNNNNNNNNNNNNNNNNNNNNNNNNNNNNNNNNNNNNNNNNNNNNNNNNNNNNNNNNNNNNNNNNNNNNNNNNNNNNNNNNNNNNNNNNNNNNNNNNNNNNNNNNNNNNNNNNNNNNNNNNNNNNNNNNNNNNNNNNNNNNNNNNNNNNNNNNNNNNNNNNNNNNNNNNNNNNNNNNNNNNNNNNNNNNNNNNNNNNNNNNNNNNNNNNNNNNNNNNNNNNNNNNNNNNNNNNNNNNNNNNNNNNNNNNNNNNNNNNGACGAGGCUUGAUGUCAUCGGAGAUGCGAUGGGCUUGAGUUGGCCUCUGUGAGCAACCGCGAGUUCUCCUUGAGGUCACCGAACAGGAAGGUGUAGGGUUUGCCGGAGAGGCCUGCUGUCUCAGGAGCCUCUCGAGCCUUUUCGGCCUCACCCACACCCAGUUCACCACCCUCCAUGCCCAUGUGGUCAGAACGGCCAGAACCAUUGCUAGCCCAAUUGACUGGAUCGAUGCCUCCAUCUUUUCUUCUGCGUGUUUGUAUCUAUUUGUCUAUAUGCUGUGAGAGAGAGACUUCAAUGGUUUGAUGUUGGGCAAGGGCGAUUGUGUGGUGUCGUGUUUAUAUAGCCGUAGCGCAUACAUAGCCGUGGGUGUUGGCCAAGAAGCUUCUUGACCGUGACCAGAGUUGGAAUAAAAAAUGAAAGAAAAAAAGAAAGCAUAACCCAAAAUAAAGAGAAGAAAAGUCUAUUCACCGCUCAAAAUGCGACGAUGAGUAUAGCACACGUAUUAAAUCAUAUACAGAUUAUUGAAAAUAGUACGUCUUAUGAAGAUCCCAUAAGAUCUUGCACUGGAAAAUUCAGUUUAGGACAAGUACAAUGUCUAAUUUCUCAACGGCGAUGGAAUCUCUCCUUUGCUGGCAAGGCAUGUUAUUGGAGAAAGGAAAAUCCUGGGAUUCACAUCUUGUUCAUCGUGAUGGUGUAAAAAGCCUUUGACAAGUGUUGUAUCAAAUUUGAAAUACUUAUGCCUAAUAAAUAAUUUUUCAAUAUAGUUUGACUAUCUGUAGUUUAUCAUCUCCUAAUGUACAUAUAACAUCGACUUGAACGGUUGCGAAUAGAGCAACAGGUUGUCGUUUCGGUUGUUUUCUAGCUUUUGUUCGCUCUUUGGCUGCAACUUUGGCUCGUUCUGGGGAUAGAGGCGAAGAUAAGGCAAGGAGUCAUUGUUACCCGUGCGAGCUCCUUGUUCAUGCAGUAUCUACGUGCAUCGAUUACGUUGGUUAACCUCGUUUUUGCAAAAGCAUAUAGAAGAGGUUCUCCUGAAGCGUUUUUAGCAUGAUCUCUACUAUAACUUAAUUAAUAUCGCCAUGUUCUUGGAAAUAAGUUCAUGCACAUAUUCUAAGAAAAUCCCAUGCCAUUGGAGACAAGUUGUUUUUUUUCUUUUUCUUUUUUAAGUUUUGAGUAUAGGUCCAUAGGGAUUGCCAUGAGAGCAGAUCACUAGACAAGGUGAGAUUCCUUCCAGAAGUUAUUGUAAUUUCAUUGUUCUUUCAAUCCGACUCAUCCUUGUCGAUUUCAAGGUAAGACUCUUUGAAGUUGCCAAACCGCCUAUUUCCACGUUGCAUCCCCCCAUAUGGCCUUUAACUAGGAAUGUGUCACUUUAUUGAAUAUGACUGUGAUCAUGUUAAAUAUGUUGAGUAUCAAUGUUGUCAAGUGCCUAUAUGUCUUUCCGAAUUUAUCCACAUAUUCGACUUUCAAAGAAUUGAUUAGUAAAUGGUGAAAAAGUCCAUUCAUCAUAAUCGAUAGAUUAUUCUCAUAUUUCCAAUAAAAUUUCAAAGUGCUUAAAUGAAUCCACUAACUUAAAUAAUCACUUAUCAUUUUCCAUGUAAUUUCAUAGAUUUAAUUAGCAUAUGAAUUUUGGUAUCUCUAGCAUUACUUGCUACAUAAUAUGUCUACAUAAAAUGGUUGAAUCAUGACCAUUACAAAUAAUGGAUGGACCACGUAUUACGUUAGUUAUCGCUCUUUUUCGCAUAAAAGGAGGCCUAAUACGAAUGCCUCCAUAAUUCUAUAUAACCAUCAUUCAAUAUAAAAUCAAGAUUAUAAGAUAUUGAAAAGUGAGAGCUUCAAUAAUUUCAUACAUUGCCUUGAAGCAAAUUGUCUUGCAUCGUUCUAUAAGAUUAGAGAUAACUUUCCAUAUAUUUCAACCAUUUCAUAUUGAGUCCCAAACAAGUUGAGAAGCACAAUCAUUAUGGAUACUUUCUCUAGACAUUAUUAUGGCACCUAUUAAAAAAUUAUAGGUUGAAGAUUGUGAAGGAAUCUUCACACAGCACCACUUGUGACAUAUUGAGUUAAGGUGGGUGAGUCCUUUUACCUCAACUCUCCAGCAUAACACACAAAUUACUAAUGAGCAUAUGCCUGAACUCACGAUCUUAUGUUCUACAAACAUCAACUCAUGCCAUUCAACCAUCACUAUAGAUAAUAAGGACACUUAUCAAGUUAUGGUACAAGAAUUGAAAAAAGAUCCAUUGCCGUUUAUUUUUCAUUGGAAUGUAUGAAUAUAUUAGAGUUUGUUCAUUACGAAUUCUAACAAGUUAAGAGCAACUUUUUCUUACUUUUCCAUUAAAAUUUAAAAUUCUAAUAUAUAAUUUAAAUAAUUGUGGAAGAAUUACAUGUGCCUUGACACAUCAAUGUAAAGCAAUUUUUGAAGAUUUCAAGCAUUCUACAUUAUAUAAAGAUCAAAAGGAUAGGUGUGAGGUGGCAUGAUUUGAAAAAAAAAAAAAAUCACUCUAUUUCAUUUUUUUAAUUUGAAUGUUUAUAAAUCCUAAAAAGAAAUUAUGUAAAUAUUUUUUAAAUUCUUGUUUUCAAGCUUUUUCAUGGGUCUUGACAAAAGCUAUUUGGAGAUGGUCCACCGAAUGGAUAUAAAACCAAAGACAUGGUGCGAUUUAGCUGUGACGCAUUAAAUCAUGUCUCAUGACGAAUAAGAAAGACACAUCGAGUCAAAAUCUCAAACACUGACAAUUUCCCGUGUAAAACGUCAUCCCCUACGUUUUAAGCCCAAAAGGAUAGGUGCAAGGUGGCAUGAUUUGAAAAAGAAAAACCACUCCAGAUUAUUUUAUUUUGUUAAUUUGAAUGUUUAUAAAACCUAAAAAAAAAAUAUGUGAAUAUUUUUAAAAUUCUUGUUUUCAAGUUUUAAAGCUGUUUGGAGAUGGCCGACCGAAUGGAUAUAAAAUCGGAAACGCAGUGUGAUUUAGCUCGGACGCAUCAAAUUAUGUAUUGUGGCGGGCAAGUAAGAUGCAUCAAGUUAAAAUCUGGAACGCUGACAUAUUCCCCUGUAAAACGUCAUCCCGUACGUAUGCAGGAGCGCCCGCGCGCUGGCAUUUGGCCGAAGAUGGUUCAGCGUCGGCACCAUUGUUAAAAGCAGUUCGACGACACUUUAUAAUCACCAUGUCUUGGACUUCUAGAAAAACGUCUUUUCGAUUAGCAUUUGCUACUUCGACCCAAAGAACACAAAAAAAAAAAAGCUGUUUGCUUGGAAAGCAAGGUGAUCUUGACUCCUCGGUGGCCAAACAGAUUCGGCUCUUUCAUUUUGCAUCCACGGUCCAUAAUUUCAUGAUUAAGUUUCAUGGAGCAACAACAUCUAAAACCGCAAAUUUCUCUUCUUUUUUUUGUUUCCUCUCAAGAAAACAUCUAUGGUCAUAUACUAUCCCAUAACCGAUGACUUGGAACGACUGGGAAAUGAAACAAAGGAAGGCAUGGAAGAAAAUGAAACGAGAAACUGAAAUGACUUACGCAAUGCAAUUCCUGCAUUUGCUCGGAAAAAUUAAAUUAGAAAGAACAUGGCGAUUCCUUUUCUUGUGCUUGCAUUUGUUGGAUUGGAACAUGUUAAAAUGUCUUUAAAAUGGAUAAUGCGAGACAACAAAAAUAAAAGGGUACACUCAAAAUCAUUAUAUGUAAUUAAUUUUCUUAUUAUUUUUCCCCAAGGAAUGGAUUGGCCAUCUUGGCCACACCAUAAGCGGAGCCAUGGACUGGCUAUUCUCCUUGUUCAAUGGAGGAGCACUCCACGUCUUUCCCCAGAACAAAGGCAAUAAAAUCCAAGUAACAAUUCCAUUCCAAACCGAUUCCUUUCUACCAAACAAGGCCUAGUUCUUACAAUUUGACGAAGGAUGAUUUGACCGAAACUAAAAUGGUAUCGCCAUUUUCUUUUGAUGAAAUGUACAAUUGAGUUGAGAGUCUGAGACUUCGGUUCUUGCAUAAGUUCCUAUAGAUUUCUUGGACUAAAAUUGUCUCUAAUCUUCUUUUAACCACAACUUGGACCUUAUGGCAAUCCUUGCCUGUGUCCUUAAGCCGCAAAUACUAGCCAUGAUUAUAAGAGCAUAAUAUUCAAUCAUCAUCCACUGUCAAGCUCACAGAACUCAACUCGAAUCUUCACCCAAAAGAGCAAGAUAAGAUAUUCGAAAUAUCAUCUACCAUUUUCAACCCAUAUAUGUAUUAUUCCAUUUGUUUUAGAAGAUGCCAUGCCGCCACUUGAACUCGAACUGAGAUGCUCUAGCACUACUUUCUAAGAGCAUCGUGUCUACCGAUUUCACCAUAGCAGAAUACUCAAAAUAAUAAUCUAUUAUUAUUUAAUUGUUAAGAUUGAAGGAGUCAAUUCAAUAUUUUUUUUUUCAUUUUCAUUCAAAGUGACGAUAAAAAACUCAUUUCGUUUCAAAAUGGAUUGAAGCGUUCCCCAAACAAAUCUUUAUUUAUCAUUUCAUUUUUUAAUAUUUAUGUGGACCCAUUUAUAUAUAUAUAUAUAUAUAUAUAUAUAUAUAUAUCUUACAGGAUAUUCAGAUGAAAAGGAAAGUAUUGACCAUCAGAUCUAGCUUCACAAUAUAACAUUUCAAAGAAACAUCGCAGACGUAGUCACAUCAACGAUUAUAUACAUACGUCAUGAGGCUCGCCAAUAAAAAAGACAGGAUAACCUUGUUCUUAAUUCCACAAAACGAUCCUUGAAGACUAGGAAUGAUUCCAAAACAUGGACUUCUCGGACCAACACAAUCAUGCUGUUUUCCUUGCUCAUCAGACAGAAGGAAAAUUUGUGAUUAAUUACGGUUGAUAACGUGAUGGCCCCAUCUGUUCAUGUAGUCACCAGCUAUAUCACAUGAACCAUGCCAUUUUCAGAUACCUAUUAUGGCCAUUUGCUAUGAUGUUACCAAUCAUCGGCUUCUCUUGUGACACCAAGGACAAUUGCAAUUGUUGCCAGGAUUGCCUGCAUAUGGACAUUGCAGGAAUUUUCAGUUUUUGUCCAUCACAAAAUGAAUCGAACAUGUACAUGUAAGAGAGGGAUGUAAUGAAAAGCAAAGGCCAGGAUUCAAAAUGGCUCAUAAAUACAGAGGUUUAGAGAUGCAUACAAAAGAUCUAUAUGAAGGAAUGUGCCAGACAAACUUUUUCCCUACUCAAGAAAAUCAUAUAGCAAAGCAUCUACUCUGCAGUCCUGAAGUUCAAUAUCAACAGGGAACAUGGAUUUCAUUUUAGAGGAUAAACUAACAUAGGCAUUGCAAGGAAUAAGAAGUCAUUAGAAGGCCAGACAAAGAUAAGCUAGAAGACAGUAGAGGCUUCCUCAAUUAACAUGUUACGUGGUAUAUUCGGGACAGAAAGAACCAUAUAUACAGCUGUACAUGGGACACCUAUUUGGACAAGGGAGAGAAGCCAAUAACUCAUGUGAUGUAUUACUGAACUGCUCUGAUGGAAGAGGUACAUAGUAAGACAAAUGACGAUAUUAAUUCUACAGAGUACAACAAAGGCAGACAACUAUAGGUGCCAGUAUGCACACCUGAGUGCAUAAGCACACAACAGAGGGUAGGGGCAUGAACAUAUAAAUUACCUGGAAGUAACAAACAAGCCAAUGUAGCUAUUUUUGUGAAUGAUGAAAGAUAGAGACUUACGGCGAUUGUACAAGCGAUAUAUCCAGGCUUUUCCCGGUAGUCUAUCCUUCUGCAGACAAGAAGAAGUAGUCCAAUGUACCAAGGGAUGGCACCAAGGAAGAAGCCAAGGAUAAACCUUCAACAAAGCAGACAUCCUAAAUUAGCUGAUGAUCUUAAACUUAUCGAAAUUAUGAUGAAUAUAAGGCUCAGAUUUCGGUAAAAGAACCAUCACAUGGGAUUUCUCUGGUUUCAAACUUGAAGGCCAGUACCAAUAAGAAUCACAAAAUAUACAAAUGUUGAACUCAUGAAGCAUAAGAAUCUGCUACAUCCAGGCUCAACAAUUGUCACGCAGUCCUUGUAGUUAUAGGGACUGUUGACUCCAUCAUGCUUUGCAGUUGGCUAUGCACUAGCCAAUACGUGAAAUCCAACCCACGAGUAAAGAAAGUAACUUACAGAAACCAUCCAACUCCAAUACCACAGCAAGGCAGCCGUGAUUCUCUUACUGGUCUUCCUUCAGCAACAGCAUAACCUGAAUUUUUUCCGUGAAAUGAAAUCUCCCCCAGUAAAAUAUUGCAAAGCAUACAGAAUGAAGAUCAUCAAUCGUUUUUGUUUCAUCAGGGCAAUCAGUAAAAUCAUCAAUAUGGGCAUACUUCGUUCUCAUUGUUCCCGUAAGUUAUCUAUUUGAGAAAGGUGAAAAGAGGACCGAGGAGAAAAGGUUUCAGAGACACAUUUUCCAAUUUUUGAGUCCUACAGAAUCUGAUCAAGUUUAAAAGGAUACAACAGAUCAUUUCACCACCAACAGUGAAGAAAACCCCGUCAGUCACAGUAUUUGCCGGCUAAAAUUACUCAUCUUCCUCUUGCUGCUCCUAUCUAGACGUAAUUCACAACUGGAAACGCAUCUGAGCACUUAUGGCGAACACAUAGGCGGAGACAUAUUUAUACUCAGUAGACAGCAUUUUACUUGAGACACCAGUGGCUUCCGCAUUUUAUCCGACUUAAACUCUGAGAACCCUGGGACAACACAUCGGGCAAAACAUAUGAUUCUCCUCUGUUUGAGCAUGAUUGACAGCUAAAGCGGCCACGUUCAAAGGAGUCAACAAAACGAGGACAAACGUGCUGGUCCGAUUAAUUUCACAUAAUUUCAACAUCUUCCAAGGACUCCUCUCCUACGCCCCAUACAUCCAAUGUCUCAAAAGAUGAGGAUGCUGAACCUUUCGCCAAAAAACUUAACCCACAGGAUAAACUAUAUCCAUUAAUACAUCAUUCCAUGCUAGAGUGAAUUGACAAAGGUAAGCAUAUUGGCAGUUCAUAAGACAAAAUCAAAAUCCCAAGAUUCCCUAGAAGCAUUCCAUCAUGAUCACACAGAAAUUUCAAAUGCACCACGACCAAAUUCCAGGAUCAACGGAAAAAAAAUGAUCCCUGAAUCGAACUUUCACCGACAGCCCGUUUCAAACUUUACAUCCCGAAGUUAACUCUGCUCGCAAGCGAUUCCAAAGGAAGCGACUUUGUACCUGGGACGGUGUGAUACCCAUGAUGGUAAUAGUGGGGAGGUGGAGGAGGAGGGAGGGCCGAGGUAUCGGUGGCGCCCGGCGGAGGCGCCGGCUGGGGGUAGCCGAUCGCCGGCUGCUGGUGCGGCGGGUUCGGCGGGGGGUAGUUGGCGACGCCUUGGAAGGUGCCGUACUGGUGCUGAUAGUCGCCGCUCGGGACGCCCCUGUUUCGGUCUUCGUUUGUGUAAGGAC
rnacentral:lncRNA from 1 species